rnacentral:lncRNA from 13 species
UGAUAUAUUUUUUGUUUUAUUAUUUUUUAGUACUUUUUUUUAAACACUUGAGUUCAUUUUUGCUUCUAAUCCCAUUUCAAAGCAAGGCAUAAUGGUCUUUGUCUUUGACUCAGAUUCAUAAACUUGCAGAUCAAAUUUACAAUCCAGAAUUGAUGGUUUAAAGGCUGAGAUGACUGCACUGAUGUGGAAGGUUGUUUGCUAAACCACUUGAGAUUGUUCCACAUUUCAUGAUCACAUUGUCUAAAAUUCAGAGGAAAUUCUAGUACAUUAUCAGUGAUGAUCUACCAUGAAACAACCAGGGAAAGGAAAAAGGCAAGGUUUAAAAAGUUCUCAAGUGGCAAGGAUAAUCCAUCAUAUUUGACCUAAGUCUUCAAAUUGCUAUUAGUUUAAUUCUAUAGAAAUACAAAUGGAAGAGUUUUUCUAAACAAGCAGAGUCGAUCCCAUUUUAACCACUCCAUCACUGACUGCUGGCAACUUCUGCAGCCACAUUAUCCUUCAGUGACCAGCAACAGUGAUCAGUCAACAGCCAUCAACAUCGAGGGAAGAACCUUCACCAUCAAAAAGAUUGCAACUUUCUGAAGGUCUUCAGACUCUCAGGAGCAGGUUCCAUGCUAUACCUGGGAGGAGAAAUGAUAACCCAGGUGUGUACUUGGAAGUAGCAACAGAACGGCUUGCUGAGAUAUUUCUACUAGAUGCUGAGGAAGUAUAAUAGCAUAUUACCACAUCCCAGUGGAGAAAAUCACACUAGUGAUGGGGUUGCUUGUGUCUG